rnacentral:rRNA from 2 species
GAGUUUGAUCAUGGCUCAGAUUGAACGCUGGCGGCAGGCCUAACACAUGCAAGUCGAGCGGAAACGAGUUAACUGAACCUUCGGGGGACGUUAACGGCGUCGAGCGGCGGACGGGUGAGUAAUGCCUAGGAAAUUGCCCUGAUGUGGGGGAUAACCAUUGGAAACGAUGGCUAAUACCGCAUGAUGCCUACGGGCCAAAGAGGGGGACCUUCGGGCCUCUCGCGUCAGGAUAUGCCUAGGUGGGAUUAGCUAGUUGGUGAGGUAAGGGCUCACCAAGGCGACGAUCCCUAGCUGGUCUGAGAGGAUGAUCAGCCACACUGGAACUGAGACACGGUCCAGACUCCUACGGGAGGCAGCAGUGGGGAAUAUUGCACAAUGGGCGCAAGCCUGAUGCAGCCAUGCCGCGUGUGUGAAGAAGGCCUUCGGGUUGUAAAGCACUUUCAGUCGUGAGGAAGGUAGUGUAGUUAAUAGCUGCAUUAUUUGACGUUAGCGACAGAAGAAGCACCGGCUAACUCCGUGCCAGCAGCCGCGGUAAUACGGAGGGUGCGAGCGUUAAUCGGAAUUACUGGGCGUAAAGCGCAUGCAGGUGGUUUGUUAAGUCAGAUGUGAAAGCCCGGGGCUCAACCUCGGAAUAGCAUUUGAAACUGGCAGACUAGAGUACUGUAGAGGGGGGUAGAAUUUCAGGUGUAGCGGUGAAAUGCGUAGAGAUCUGAAGGAAUACCGGUGGCGAAGGCGGCCCCCUGGACAGAUACUGACACUCAGAUGCGAAAGCGUGGGGAGCAAACAGGAUUAGAUACCCUGGUAGUCCACGCCGUAAACGAUGUCUACUUGGAGGUUGUGGCCUUGAGCCGUGGCUUUCGGAGCUAACGCGUUAAGUAGACCGCCUGGGGAGUACGGUCGCAAGAUUAAAACUCAAAUGAAUUGACGGGGGNCCGCACAAGCGGUGGAGCAUGUGGUUUAAUUCGAUGCAACGCGAAGAACCUUACCUACUCUUGACAUCCAGAGAACUUUCCAGAGAUGGAUUGGUGCCUUCGGGAACUCUGAGACAGGUGCUGCAUGGCUGUCGUCAGCUCGUGUUGUGAAAUGUUGGGUUAAGUCCCGCAACGAGCGCAACCCUUAUCCUUGUUUGCCAGCGAGUAAUGUCGGGAACUCCAGGGAGACUGCCGGUGAUAAACCGGAGGAAGGUGGGGACGACGUCAAGUCAUCAUGGCCCUUACGAGUAGGGCUACACACGUGCUACAAUGGCGCAUACAGAGGGCGGCCAACUUGCGAAAGUGAGCGAAUCCCAAAAAGUGCGUCGUAGUCCGGAUUGGAGUCUGCAACUCGACUCCAUGAAGUCGGAAUCGCUAGUAAUCGUGGAUCAGAAUGCCACGGUGAAUACGUUCCCGGGCCUUGUACACACCGCCCGUCACACCAUGGGAGUGGGCUGCAAAAGAAGUAGGUAGUUUAACUUCGGGGGGACGCUU